CCUGGGGUCGGGCCACCAUUGAACCAAGACGAAGCUUCCCAUGGGGGAAAGGAGCCCCCAGAGGGGCGUCCUACUCCUGCAAGCUCUCCCACAUGCCUUUCUAGGGGAUGGAGGUGGGACUUCGAAGCCCGGAGGACCGGCUGCUCUGGGUCCAAGGCACCGAAGGCGGAGGAGAGGGCAGCCCCGGUCCCGGGCGAGCUCUUUCAGGUCCUGGACAAGAUGGCGGGGAAGGUUUGCCCAGUUCUGGGCCUCCUCCAUCCCGUUCCAGGCAGCCUUCCAGAACCCCUGAACUCUAGAGUCUUCUCUCCCCGAUUAUUCCCCAACUCUCCUCUCUCUCUGUCUCUGAGUCAUUUCCCAUCUCUCCUCUCUCUGUCUGUCUCUGAGUUAUUUCCCAUCUCUCCCUUCUGUCUCUGAGUCAUUUCCCAUCUCUCCUCUCUCUGUCUGUCUCUGAGUUGUUUCCCAUCUCUCCUCUCUCUGUCUGUCUCAGUUAUUUCCCAUCUCUCCCUUCUGUCUCUGAGUUAUUUCCCAUCUCUCCUCUCCGUCUCUUGAGUUAUUUCCCAUCUCUCCAUUCCAUCUCUUGAGUUAUUUCCCAUCUCUCCUCUCUCUCUCUCUGUCCCCAUGUCUCUGUUAUUUCCCAUCUCUCCUCUCAUUUCCCAUCUCUCCUCUCUCUCUCUGUCCCCAUGUCUCUGUUAUUUCCCAUCUCUCCUCUCUCUCUCUCUGUCCCCAUGUCUCUGUUAUUUCCCAUCUCUCCUCUCUCUGUCUGUCUCAGUUAUUUCCCAUCUCUCCUCUCUGUCUCUUGAGUUAUUUCCCAUCUCUCCUCUCAUUUCCCAUCUCUCCUCUCUCUCUCUCUGUCCCCAUGUCUCUGUUAUUUCCCAUCUCUCCUCUCUCUGUCUGUCUCAGUUAUUUCCCAUCUCUCCUCUCUGUCUCUUGAGUUAUUUCCCAUCUCUCCUCUCAUUUCCCAUCUCUCCUCUCUCUCUCUCUCUGUCCCCAUGUCUCUGUUAUUUCCCAUCUCUCCUCUCUCUCUCUGUCCCCAUGUCUCUGUUAUUUCCCAUCUCUCCUCUCUCUCUCUGUCCCCAUGUCUCUGUUAUUUCCCAUCUCUCCUCUCUCUCUCUGUCCCCAUGUCUCUGUUAUUUCCCAUCUCUCCUCUCUCUGUCUGUCUCUGAGUUAUUUCCCAUCUCUCCUCUCAUUUCCCAUCUCUCCUCUCAUUUCCCAUCUCUCCUCUCUCUCUCUCUCUGUCCCCAUGUCUCUGUUAUUUCCCAUCUCUCCUCUCUCUCUCUGUCCCCAUGUCUCUGUUAUUUCCCAUCUCUCCUCUCUCUCUCUGUCCCCAUGUCUCUGUUAUUUCCCAUCUCUCCUCUCUCUGUCUGUCUCUGAGUUAUUUCCCAUCUCUCCUCUCAUUUCCCAUCUCUCCUCUCAUUUCCCAUCUCUCCUCUCUCUCUCUCUCUGUCCCCAUGUCUCUGUUAUUUCCCAUCUCUCCUCUCUCUCUCUCUCUGUCCCCAUGUCUCUGUUAUUUCCCAUCUCUCCUCUCAUUUCCCAUCUCUCCUCUCCUCUCCCUCCAUUCCUGGCCUCUCCCAUUGCAUGGGGAGCUCCUCGAGGGCAUGGAUGGUCUUUUGUCUCUUCUGUAUCCUCAGCCAGGUGCCUGGUACACAGCAGGUGCUUAAUAAAUGUUUGUUUGUUCAUCGGUUGCA
rnacentral:lncRNA from 1 species